CCCGCACAAGCGGUGGAGCAUGUGGUUUAAUUCGACGCUACGCGAAGAACCUUACCUGGGCUUGAACUGCUGGUGGUAGAAGCCCGAAAGGGUAACGACCCGGAGCAAUCCGGGAGCCAGUAGAGGUGCUGCAUGGCUGUCGUCAGCUCGUGUCGUGAGAUGUUGGGUUAAGUCCCGCAACGAGCGCAACCCUUACCCUUAGUUGCCAGCGGGUAAUGCCGGGCACUCUAAGGGGACCGCCCCGGAUAACGGGGAGGAAGGCGGGGAUGACGUCAAGUCAGCAUGGCCUUUAUGUCCAGGGCUACACACGUGCUACAAUGGGCGAUACAGAGGGAAGCAAGGCCGCAAGGUAGAGCUAAUCCCUAAAGUCGUCCUCAGUUCGGAUUGCAGGCUGCAACUCGCCUGCAUGAAGUCGGAAUCGCUAGUAAUCGCGGAUCAGCUACGCCGCGGUGAAUACGUUCUCGGGCCUU
rnacentral:rRNA from 1 species